rnacentral:rRNA from 1 species
GACGUAGGGCGCGAGCGUUGUCCGGAUUUAUUGGGCGUAAAGAGCGUGUAGGCGGCCAUACAGGUCAGCUGUGAAAACUCGAGGCUCAACCUCGAGACGUCGGUUGAAACCGUAUGGCUAGAGUCCGGAAGAGGAGAGUGGAAUUCCCGGUGUAGCGGUGAAAUGCGCAGAUAUCGGGAAGAACACCUAUGGCGAAGGCAGCCAUCUGGACCGACACUGACGCUGAGGCGCGAAAGCGUGGGGAGCAAACAGG